UGACUUGCGGCGGGAGAGUCCCGUCAGAUCCACUGGCGGGCGCCGUAGGAGCAAUACCCUCCCCGGGAAUCUCUCAGGCACCCGUACCGCCGCGCAGAG
rnacentral:ncRNA from 1 species